rnacentral:rRNA from 1 species
CGCGUAGGCGGACCUUCAAGUCGGGUGUGAAAACUGGCGGCUUAACUGCCAGCCUGCACUCGAUACUGUUGGUCUUGAGUACAGUAGAGGAAAGCGGAAUUCCAGGUGUAGCGGUGAAAUGCGUAGAUAUCUGGAAGAACACCGGUAGCGAAGGCGACUUUCUGGGCUGAUACUGACGCUGAAGCGCGAAGGCUAGGGUAGCAAACA